UACGUAGGGGGCAAGCGUUGUCCGGAUUUACUGGGCGUAAAGAGCUCGUAGGCGGUUUGUCACGUCGGAUGUGAAAACCCGAGGCUUAACCUCGGGCCUGCAUUCGAUACGGGCUGACUAGAGUUCGGUAGGGGAGACUGGAAUUCCUGGUGUAGCGGUGAAAUGCGCAGAUAUCAGGAAGAACACCAAUGGCGAAGGCAGCUCUCUGGGACGGUACUGACGCUGAGACGCGAAAGCGUGGGGAGCGAACAGG
rnacentral:rRNA from 1 species